GCCCACGCUAAGAAACCCUCCUUGUGAGAGCAGAACGGCGCAACACUGCACAGCAUCAGGCUGGUCCUGCAGUAAAGCUAAGAUAGCUCUGUUACCUGACUAAGAAACUCUGUCAGGUUUCUUACGCGGUGUGAUCUUCAACAUGUUCCGCACGGCUUUUUUGUUUAGACUUCAAUCCAUCAUGCCGAUGAACCACUCCGGUUAAAGGUUAGCUUUCAAAGCAACUGCCGAAUGAGAAAACCAUACUGUGUGGGGGCAUUCCACUUCCCACUGACCAGAUUUGUUUGGAUGUUUUUGCGAGGGGACAUUAAGUUCAGCUCGAGGGGUGAAGAAGAAGGAGAGAAAGCAUUUUUUUUUUUGCGGCCGUCUGAUCUUGUGCCAAAGACACCUUUGUCCGAAGGUGUCCUUAAAUGUUGCUGUUUAACGAGGCCGCUGCUGAGUGCUUUCUCAGAUUCUGUGCUGUGAAGAAGACUGAAGACUGGUCUCUCUCUGCGAGGACCAGCUGAAUCCAUGCCGAUUCCUGCAGCUGCUCUGCAGUGUCUCAGUGUCAAUCGUUUCAGCCUCUGCCAUCUCAGCCCCACAUGCCAGCAAGCCCCCCGGACGCGCCGGAGAGAGAGAGGGAGGGGUGGUGGCCAGCGUGUCAAGUGGGUCAGGGAAAUUGACUGGGGCAAAGGACUCACCCACGCGUGAAGAGAAGGUCAACCGUAAAAUCGAACCCCUCCACCCCACCCCCGACCACUACAGCAGCCCCUCUGCCCCAGGGUAAAAUGUGAGCUUGGAGACAGCAAGGCUGGGACUCACAAAUCCAGCGAAUCGCCCCCCAGCCAAGCCCGUGACAGGCCAGGGCAGCUCUCAGGCCCACCCUGCUGGGGGGGGGGGGUCUGUCUGAUGUCCCACCUUUGCUCAUUUUGUCUUCGCUGUAAUUAAAAGUGCUUCAUCUUCCGAAGGCAACAGGGUGCUCUUUGACGACAUGCCACUGAAAUAAUAAUAAUGCAA
rnacentral:lncRNA from 1 species